rnacentral:lncRNA from 1 species
ACUAAACUCCAGAUGAAAUUUUAUUGUAUAUUGUCUUGAAAUUAUCAUCGACUAAGCACUAAAAAAUCACCUUGAAAAAUAUAAAUAGAAUGCUCUCUCAAAAUGAACUGUCCCAACUUGUUCGUCCAUAUUGAGUCCAAAUUGCUAUGACCCAUACGUGCAAAAGCUUCCUCAUGAUGAGCGGUGGUAGGGGAGGUGGUCUGUGAUUGUGGU